GACGAACGCUGGCGGCGUGCCUAACACAUGCAAGUCGAACGGAAAGGCCCUGCUUUUGCGGGGUGCUCGAGUGGCGAACGGGUGAGUAACACGUGUGUAACCUGUCCCUGACUGUGGGAUAACUUCAGGAAACUGGGGCUAAUACCGCAUAGGAGCUCUAGCUGCAUGGUGGGGGUUGGAAAGAUUCGGCCGUUGGAGAUGGACUCGCGGCUAAUCAGCUGGUUAGGGGGGUAGUGGCAGACCACGGCUUUGACGGAUAGCCGACCUGAGAGGUUGACCGGCGACAUUACGACUACGAUACGCCGCAGACGCGUACGGGAGGCAGCGGUGGAGAGUAUUACGGAGCGAGCGGGAGCCUGUUGCGACAACGCCGCGAGCGGGAUGACGGGCUUCUGGUUGUAAACCGCUUUCGCCUUUACCGAACCGUGCGUGACGGUAAUGGAUCAAAAAGCCACGGCUAACUACGUG
rnacentral:rRNA from 1 species